UACGUAGGGUGCGAGCGUUGUCCGGAUUUAUUGGGCGUAAAGAGCUCGUAGGCGGCUCGUCGCGUCGACCGUGAAAACCCACAGCUUAACUGUGGGCUUGCGGUUGAUACGGGCGGGCUAGAGUUCGGUAGGGGAGACUGGAAUUCCUGGUGUAGCGGUGAAAUGCGUAGAUAUCAAGAGGAACACCUGAGGUGAAGACGGGUUGCUGGGCUGACACUGACGCUGAGGCGCGAAAGCUAGGGUAGCAAACGGG
rnacentral:rRNA from 1 species